CGAGUACUCCUUCCGUUCCAAAUUACUUGUCGCAAGUAUGAAUAUAUCUAGAUGUAUUUUAGUUCUAGAUACAUCCAUUUCUGCGAUGAGUAAUUUGAAACGGAGGGAGUACAUG
rfam:Triticum aestivum genome assembly, contig: Triticum_aestivum_CS42_TGACv1_scaffold_557747_7AL